GGCAGAGAGAGCCCAGUUCCCGUGCCCGAGACGGGCAUGAGGAAAGUCCCCCCACCGUCCGAACGGGUGACCGGGCGCAAGCCCGGAGUCGGAGACGGCUGGCGCUGGAACAGAAACGAGACCGCUCGACCCGACCGAUGAUGCGCGCGCGACGGCUCCGCCGUCGCCGGCGCGGCCGUCACGGCCGCGUGCGAACCGACCCGUAAGGGAAGGGAGCUAACCCGCAGAGGGAUGAGGUGGCGUCGCCAUCUCCGACGGUCGAGAACGGAUGGAACGGCGAAUCCUCACCGGUGCAAGUCCGCGCCGCGAAGGGUAGUUCGGACGGCGCGUCGGGUUCGCCCGUCGCGCCCUCGGGGGGCUCGCCCCGAGAAGGACGCGGACGCUGAGCCGAAUGCUGGGACGAACAGAAGGGGGCUUACUCCUCUCAGCCGCUU
rnacentral:RNase_P_RNA from 13 species